GAGUUUGAUCAUGGCUCAGAUUGAACGCUGGCGGCAUGCCUUACACAUGCAAGUCGAACGGCAGCACGGGAGCAAUCCUGGUGGCGAGUGGCGAACGGGUGAGUAAUACAUCGGAACGUGCCCAGUAGUGGGGGAUAACCCGGCGAAAGCCGGACUAAUACCGCAUACGACCUACGGGUGAAAGCAGGGGAUCGCAAGACCUUGCGCUAUCGGAGCGGCCGAUGUCAGAUUAGCUUGUUGGCGGGGUAAAAGCCCACCAAGGCGACGAUCUGUAGCUGGUCUGAGAGGACGACCAGCCACACUGGGACUGAGACACGGCCCAGACUCCUACGGGAGGCAGCAGUGGGAAUUUUGGACAAUGGGCGCAAGCCUGAUCCAGCCAUGCCGCGUGCGGGAAGAA
rnacentral:rRNA from 1 species